rnacentral:rRNA from 1 species
AUUGAACGCUGGCGGCGGGCUUAACACAUGCAAGUCGAGCGGAGAUGAGGUGCUUGCACCUUAUCUUAGCGGCGGACGGGUGAGUAAUGCUUAGGAAUCUGCCUAUUAGUGGGGGACAACAUUCCGAAAGGAAUGCUAAUACCGCAUACGUCCUACGGGAGAAAGCAGGGGAUCUUCGGACCUUGCGCUAAUAGAUGAGCCUAAGUCGGAUUAGCUAGUUGGUGGGGUAAAGGCCUACCAAGGCGACGAUCUGUAGAGGGUCUGAGAGGAUGAUCCGCCACACUGGGACUGAGGCACGGCCCAGACUCCUACGGGAGGCAGCAGUGGGGAAUAUUGGACAAUGGGGGAAACCCUGAUCCAGCCAUGCCGCGUGUGUGAAGAAGGCCUUAUGGUUGUAAAGCACUUUAAGCGAGGAGGAGGCUACUGAGACUAAUACUCUUGGAUAGUGGACGUUACUCGCAGAAUAAGCACCGGCUAACUCUGUGCCAGCCGCCGCAGUAA